UACAGAGGGGGCAAGCGUUGUUCGGAAUUACUGGGCGUAAAGGGCGCGUAGGCGGCCUUCUAAGUCGAACGUGAAAUCCCUGGGCUCAACCCAGGAACUGCGUCCGAUACUGGGAGGCUUGAAUCCGGGAGAGGGAUGUGGAAUUCCAGGUGUAGCGGUGAAAUGCGUAGAUAUCCGGAGGAACACCGGUGGCGAAGGCGGCAUCCUGGACCGGUAUUGACGCUGAUGCGCGAAAGCCAGGGGAGCAAACGGG
rnacentral:rRNA from 1 species